AGAGUUUGAUCCUGGCUCAGAACGAACGCUGGCGGCGUACUUAACACAUGCAAGUCGUACGAGAAAGGGGACUUCGGUCCCUGAGUACAGUGGCGAACGGGUGCGUAACACGUAUGUAAUCUACCCCGAACACUGGGAUAACCCUCCGAAAGGAGGGCUAAUACUGGAUAGGGUCCCUGAGGUCUAAGCCGCAGGGGGAAAACGGGCCUCUGUUUCAUGCUCGUGGUUCGGGAUGAGCUUGCGGCCCAUUAGCUAGUUGGUAGGGUAAUGGCCUACCAAGGCAACGAUGGGUAGCUGGUCUGAGAGGAUGGUCAGCCACACUGGCACUGAGACACGGGCCAGACUCCUACGGGAGGCAGCAGUGGGGAAUAUUGGACAAUGGGGGCAACCCUGAUCCAGCAAUGCCGCGUGAGUGAUGAAGGCCUUCGGGUUGUAAAGCUCUUUUGCCAGGGACGAUGAUGACGGUACCUGGAGAAUAAGCCCCGGCUAACUUCGUGCCAGCCGCCGCGGUAAUAC
rnacentral:rRNA from 1 species